rnacentral:ncRNA from 2 species
UAUAUUAAGUGAAGAACAGGUUCCUUCGGGAUGAAAAGGGAAGACGGUGCGAAUCCGUCGCGGUCCCGCCGCUGUAACCGGGGACAAAGUCGGCAUAAAGCCACUGGCCAGAUAGAAGCCGGGAAGGCGCCGACAAGAGGUUGAUCCGGGAGCCAGAAGACCUGCCUGUAUUGUAUCAGCAGA